CUGACUAGGUCUCCUUUUUCUUUGGUGCAUCCCAUCCUUUGUUCUUUCCCUCAGCUGAGGUGGGUCCACAGCACCCCGAGGACACCUGGCCAAGGCCUGAGGCACUGCCACCAUCCUCUGUGCACGAUCUCACCAUGAUGCUACCUACUGGGACAGAAGCUGGCAAUGUACUCUGGAAGUUCUGACACCUUACACAGGCAUGCUGGGAUUAGGAGACAGAGACCAGGAGCUCAUGGACGGCACCCAGACAGAGCCUCUUGUACGCUGAGGCCAGGGAAGAAAGAUCUUUUCCACCUGCCUCCGACACACUAGCCGAGUUUUCCAGAGAAAGAGCAGCCUGGAACAUGUCUCCCAAGACACCUCUCUCUCCUUUCCUGUCACGAGACUCGUUGACCAGAUUUUGAUGAAUGCGCACUGUGCACAGGCCAGCAAAGUAGAAAAGCAUGCUUGCAAGCUAGUGACCCACUGAUGGAGAGACCCACGCACCUCUGCAGAGGCCAGGGCAGAGCAACACGGGAGGACAAACAGCGUUGCUGAGGACUGCAGGCAGGAACCACAGAUACCUACCUUCCCCUGAGUAUGGCCCAUGUCCUGUGUGGCCCCAGAGCGAGGCCUGGCUGGUUCAGAGGCACAUCCUUCCUAGUCGUAAAAGAAAUGUAAGUACACAAAAUUCCAACCUCCCACGUCGCCCAUGCUCCAACCUGGUGCCUUUGCUCUGGUCUCCAGCUACUGCCUUGCAGAACUGGAUGCUUAUAAGGUGGUGCAUCCUGACAGGGUGUGAGUAGUUCUUAAAUGCUAACUAAAACUGUGCCCAUGGCAACAGAGAAUGCCAGAGACUAAACACAAUGGAAGACUAGAACAGGAAAGAAACCUGCCUGAGGAAUGUGGAAGUGGACAGGAACCUGCAGAGCCCACGCGUGGUCCCUGGACAUCAGAGGCCCAGCUCACCCUGAUGUCAAGGUCAUCUGAGACAGUUUUCACCAUGCGGUCCUAAUUGGUCUGGAACUAUGUAGCCCAUGCUGGACCAGAACUUGUGGCGAUACUUCUGCCUCCCAAGUGAAGGGCUACAGAGGCCUGAGCCUUCAUCAUGUUCUGACUCUCCUUCUGAAGGCUGAGAGCUACUGUGUUCAAGUACCCCGGGGUCCCCCUGCCCACCCGGCACAGGGGCUUCAACACAAGCUAGGGGACAGAGGAGAGAGGAUGUGCCAGUUUGCAGGGCCUUUUGUGCAUGAACCGGGAGGCAGCAGCAAUUGGGAUGGCACAGGCCUGUGUGCCCCAGGUGCUCACAUCACAAAGGCACAGUGAGAGGCACAGCCGACUCAUGCCCGAGGACUAGGUUGUCUGUGGGCACUCUGUGUCCAUUGAAAUCAAGCAGCUCAUCCCUGGGAGUGGAACACAUGUUACUACCCUGUCCCUCCAAAGGGGGCUGGGGCCUGGCAGACCUGACUCAGUACUCUCUCCACACCACCCAGGCCCAAUGCCCAGAAGCACAGAUGUUACUGUCAUGUUGAAGCUAAGGCGGCCCCUGGGGUCAGCAGAAGAGGGAAGAGGCCACGUCUGCUUCACUUUCUUCGUUCUGCAUGAGUUUUUCAGGCUCACAAAGAAGGGGACCCUUGAGGACCCUCCUGGAGGCUCUCCAUCUGUGAGGCCAGCAGGCUGACUCUCCCAAGUGUGGCAGCUGGUCAGGGUCUGCACCCCCUCCUCUCCAAAGUCACUUUUCUAUGUAUUCUAGGUUCAAAUCCCCACACAGAGGGAAACACCAGAACGCACCAAGUAACAUUUAUCUCUCUAUAUAUUAGAGGUUUCUGACAGAAAGGCCCCAAGCAGGGCGGCCAGCUUUGAACGGGAUAGGUAUAGGAAAAUGGACCACCGAACUCGGUACUCCAUUCUCCAGACAAGAGUUCCUACUGUCCAUUCCGGCGUGGACAUGCGGAACUAAAGAGGGAGCAGCCACUCUCCGGGGCCCAAAACUACAUGGAAGAGUCGAGCAACUUCAUUUGGAAUGAAGCUUUGAUGAGCCUGAAUGAAAAUGAUAAAGAUAAUAAAAAAAAUAUGGGCAGCUGCUGGAACACAAGGAAGGCCAAGGACGCAACAGGACCCGAGAGGUGACAAGAAAGUGAACUCAACCCUAGAGACAGCAAUUCGUUAGCUAGGCGGUCAAGAGGACACAACAGGGUCAUUCGGAAAAAGCUCCCUGGCCAUAAAAGCUCUCGGGUCCAGGCCUCAGUGCAACGAGUCGUGUAAGUGUUCCCUCAUGAAAUGCUACUAAGCUCCCAGAAGAACCUUCUACUUCUCCUUGUGUUCAAGCUCACCAGGAGUGGUCUCGUGUUCUAGCCUGGUUCUCCAGCUUCCUAUUUUUUCCCCCUUUGUCCAUUUAAUCUUGUCCUGUUAUAGUUGCUGACAGCUUGGCCCUGG